rnacentral:rRNA from 1 species
AUACGAACCGGACAAACGUUAUUCGGAAUCAUUGGGCUUAAAGGGUGCGUAGGCGGCGUAGUAAGUGAGGUGUGAAAGCCCUCGGCUCAACCGAGGAAUUGCGCUUCAUACUGCUAUGCUCGAGGGAGACAGGGGUAAGCGGAACUGAUGGUGGAGCAGUGAAAUGCGUUGAUAUCAUCAGGAACACCAGUGGCGAAAGCGGCUUACUGGGUCUCUUCUGACGCUGAGGCACGAAAGCUAGGGUAGCGAACGGGAUUAGAAACCCUUGUAGUCC